ACGGAGCUCGGCAAGGCCAAGGCCACACCGGAAGAGAAGGUGUGAUCUCCCGAGUCGGGACUCCCAGCACGGAUCCCCGGAACCCACGCGGAGCUCAAGCCGCGAUACAGGCAGAAGCGUUGUGGGCCUGCGGAAUUGCGAAAAGCGAAUGACGUUGUCAACUCCUUGGGUGGGGUUGCACCCGUAGCGCAUCGCAAGAUCGCCGAGGCCACCCACACAACCCACCUCAGCACGCUUGGUAACCGGAAUCCGUGCUAGCGGGCGGCGAGCCGUGUCAGAUGCAAAUCUGACAACGGAACGUCGCCCGCUUCAUGUC
rnacentral:ncRNA from 1 species